CAGACGGAGGAGGAACCCAGCACGGCCCAACCUUUAAAAAAAUCCAAGACCGGCAAGGGAGAUGCGGGCAGAAUAGGCCCCACUGCUCCUGGGUUCUCCAUUUCCUUGUCUGUCUUCAGAUGGCAGCAACCCUGCCCACGCGGGCUGGGCUUAAGGCCUGGAGGUGGUGACCCUGGCUGCCCCUUUCCUGGACCAGGUUCCAUGAACGGCCAGGCACUGGGGUGUGACUAGAGAGAACAGAUGAGCUGAGGACAAGCCCAGUGUUCACCACCCAACUGGAGACUGCCACCCACAUCAGCUACCAACAAGAAGACCGUGGCCUCCCACCUUGAUCUGAGCCAGCAGGUUUUUGAGGGUCGUAUACAGUUGGUCAGGGUCCUUAAGCUCCUUGCUGGAAAUGAGAGAGACCAAGUCUGAGCCUGUCUCUCCUGCAAAGGAGAAGAAAACAUCCCUCAGAAUGCCUGCCUGUGCCCUGAGAAUGCCCUCCUGCCCCUUCAGCCAAGGCCCCUGCUCACGGAUGCCUGGGACGCUCUCCACAGGGAUCUGCCUUACUCCCUCUUUGAAGCAGCUGAGUCCAGGGUAGACCUUGCGGAUCUGUGCCUGUUUGCGCUCAAUCAACUUCUUGAUGAUCUGAGGAAGCAAGGGUCUGAGGGGGCCACCUCAGGCCCAGUCACCCCCAAGACCAUGGUCAAUAAAUGGUGACAUUCA